rnacentral:rRNA from 1 species
UACGUAGGGAGCAAGCGUUGUCCGGAAUCAUUGGGCGUAAAGCGCGCGUAGGCGGCCUCAUAAGUCCGUUGUGAAAGUCAAAGGCUCAACCUUUGAAAGCCGAUGGAUACUGCGAGGCUAGAGUCCGGAAGAGGCGAGUGGAAUUCCUGGUGUAGCGGUGGAAUGCGCAGAUAUCAGGAGGAACACCAAUAGCGAAGGCAGCUCGCUGGGACGGUACUGACGCUAAGGCGCGAAAGCGUGGGGAGCGAACAGG